UACGAAGGGGGCGAGCGUUGUUCGGAAUUACUGGGCGUAAAGGGCGCGUAGGCGGCCGAGCAAGUUAGAUGUGAAAGUCCUGGGCUUAACCUGGGAACUGCAUUCGAGACUGCAUUGCUAGAGUAUGGGAGAGGGAAGUGGAAUUUCCGGUGUAGCGGUGAAAUGCGUAGAUAUCGGAAGGAACAUCAGUGGCGAAAGCGACUUCCUGGACCAAUACUGACGCUCAUGUGCGAAAGCGUGGGGAGCAAACAGG
rnacentral:rRNA from 1 species